rnacentral:misc_RNA from 1 species
GCGGAAUACAUCGUGAGUUUACUCACCGUGUGAAGUCAGUUUCCAUGUCUAAGUUUACUUCCCAAGAAGUGGAAGCUCUUCAACAGGGUGGUAAUCAGCGGGCCAGAGAGAUAUAUUUAAAAAGUUGGGACCCUCAAAGUCAGUGGCUUCCUAAUAACAGCAAUGUUGAUAAAGUGAGGGAAUUUAUAAAGACCGUCUAUGUUGAUAAAAAAUAUGCU